rnacentral:rRNA from 1 species
CCUACGGGAGGCAGCAGUGGGGAAUAUUGGGCAAUGGGCGCAAGCCUGACCCAGCAACGCCGCGUGAAGGAAGAAGGCUUUCGGGUUGUAAACUUCUUUUCUCAGGGACGAAGCAAGUGACGGUACCUGAGGAAUAAGCCACGGCUAACUACGUGCCAGCAGCCGCGGUAAUACGUAGGUGGCAAGCGUUAUUCGGAUUUACUGGGUGUAAAGGGCGUGUAGGUGGGAGAGCAAGUCAGAUGUGAAAACCAUGGGCUCAACCUGUGGCCUGCAUUUGAAACUGUUUUUCUUGAGUGCUGGAGAGGCAGAGGGAAUUCCUAGUGUAGCGGUGAAAUGCGUAGAUAUUAGGAGGAACACCAGUGGCGAAGGCGAUCUGCUGGACAGCAACUGACGCUGAGGCGCGAAAGCGUGGGGAGCGAACGGGAUUAGAUACCCCUGUAGUC